rnacentral:rRNA from 1 species
UACGAAGGGUGCAAGCGUUACUCGGAAUUACUGGGCGUAAAGCGUGCGUAGGUGGUGAGUUAAGUCUGUCGUGAAAGCCCGGGCUCAACCUGGGAAUGGCGAUGGAUACUGGCUCGCUAGAGUGCGGUAGAGGAGAGUGGAAUUCCCGGUGUAGCGGUGAAAUGCGUAGAGAUGGGGAGAACACUCGUGGCGAAGGCGGCCAGCUAGACCAGUUCUGACACUGAGGCGCGACAGCGUGGGAGCAAACAGG